UAGGGAAUCUUCCGCAAUGGGCGAAAGCCUGACGGAGCAACGCCGCGUGAGUGAAGAAGGAUUUCGGUUCGUAAAGCUCUGUUGUUAGGGAAGAAUGACUGUGUAGUAACUAUACACAGUAGAGACGGUACCUAACCAGAAAGCCACGGCUAACUACGUGCCAGCAGCCGCGGUAAUACGUAGGUGGCAAGCGUUGUCCGGAAUUAUUGGGCGUAAAGCGCGCGCAGGUGGUUUAAUAAGUCUGAUGUGAAAGCCCACGGCUCAACCGUGGAGGGUCAUUGGAAACUGUUAAACUUGAGUGCAGGAGAGAAAAGUGGAAUUCCUAGUGUAGCGGUGAAAUGCGUAGAGAUUAGGAGGAACACCAGUGGCGAAGGCGGCUUUUUGGCCUGUAACUGACACUGAGGCGCGAAAGCGUGGGGAGCAAACAGGAUUAGAUACCCUGGUAGUCCACGCCGUAAACGAUGAGUGCUAAGUGUUGGUCUCAUAAGAGAUCAGUGCUGCAGCUAACGCAUUAAGCACUCCGCCUGGGGAGUACGACCGCAAGGUU
rnacentral:rRNA from 1 species